rnacentral:lncRNA from 12 species
AUGGAGAAACAGAAACUGUUUUCUCCCCCUGCCCACCAUUCUUACUGUUUCACAUACCAGUCUGGGAAAAGUCUCAAGAGGAUUUUAGGUGUAUUUUCGGGGAUCCCAGGUGGGAUUUGAGGGGAUCUGGGUGGGGUUUGUGGGGUGUGGUGGGGGCCCAGGUGAGUUUAGGGGUAAAUUGGUGGAAUUUGGGGGGGUCCAAGGUGGGAGUUGAGGGGGAAUUGCAGGGAUUUUGGGGUGUCCCAGGUGGGUUUGGAGGAUCUCAGGUGGGGGAUCUGGGAGGCCUGCAUGGAUCUUGGGGUGAAUUUGGGGCGUUUUGGGACGUCCCAGGUGGGAUUUGAGAGGUCCACAUGGAUUUUGGCUGAAUUUAGAACAUUUUGGGGAGUCUCAGGUGAAUUUUGAGAAGCCUUUAGUAGAGUUUCGGCAAAUGACUUGAACUAACUUGACUCUAACACUGCCCGACUUAUGAAUCUGCCCAGCCUUCUGUAGUGU